GCCCUGCUAGCUCAAUCGGUAGAGCGUAAGACUCUUACGAGAGAUAGCAAUCUUAAGGCUGUGGGUUCGACCGUAAGAUA